rnacentral:rRNA from 1 species
GUGGGAUGCCUUUUUAUUUUAAUAAAAAGAGUAUAUUAGGUUUAACUUUAUAUAUUAUUUUUAUUAAAUUAAGAAUUCAAUACCUUUGAAUGUAAUUCUAGAUAAAAUAUUGAUAAUGACAAAGUUUUAUCUAUAUGUCUUGACCAAAUCUUGUGCCAGCAGUCGCGGCAACACAAGGAAGACAAGUGUUAUUCAUCUUAAAUCGGUUUAAAGGGUACCUAGACGGUGAAUUAGGCCUUAAAUGGAACGUUUUUACUAGAGUUAUAUAUGCAUGAGGACUGUGUGAGUAUUACCAGAGUAGAGAUGUAAUUUUUUGAUACUGUUAAGACUGGUAAAGGCAAAAGCAAACCUUUAUAUAUUAACUGACGUUGAGGGACGAAGGCUUGGGGCGCAAACAGGAUUAGAUACCCCAGUAGUCCAGGCAGAGAAUUAUGAAUGUCAUAGAAUAGAUAUAAU